rnacentral:misc_RNA from 1 species
GAGAAGAACGUAGCGAAAUGCGAUAAGUAAUGUGAAUUGCAGAAUUCAGUGAAUCAUCGAAUCUUUGAACGCACAUUGCGCCCGCCAGCAUUCUGGCGGGCAUGCCUGUUCGAGCGUCAUUUCAACCCUCAAGCUCUGCUUGGUGUUGGGGCCCUACGGUUGACGUAGGCCCUUAAAGGUAGUGGCGGACCCUCUCGGAGCCUCCUUUGCGUAGUAACUAACGUCUCGCAUUGGGAUUCGGAGGGACUCUUGCCGUAAAACCCCCAAAUUUUCUAAUGGUUGACCUCGGAUCAGGUAGGAAUACCCGCUGAACUUAAGCAUAUCAAUAAGCGGAGGA